GUCUAUAUAUACCCUGUAGAACCGAAUUUGUGUGGUGUUUACGUAGUCACAGAUUCGAUUCUAGGGGAAUAUAUGGU
ensembl:miRNA microRNA 10b